rnacentral:rRNA from 1 species
AUGCGAGGAGAAAUGUAUGUGAUCUCUGUAUAUUCUGUUGUAGCUCUUUGGUACUUUGAAGUCUUCAAUAAUUAUUUUUGUCAAAUUCCGGUGGUUGUCUAUAAUAUUGUGGUAGUCAAUCAUGUUUUUGACUGUUUCACAAUGAUGAUGCCUGCAGAUCACCCAGCUUGCUCUCCUGAGACUGAGAACCUAUCCAGUGUCUCCAGUCAGGCAGGAAAUUUUUGCCCACAAAGUUGCAGACUGCUGUUUGAGGAAAUGCAGAAUCUUCUUGCGGUCAAGAAGGAUCUUGAACCUGAAUUCAUCCAUGACGAUGUACCAAAACAGUUCUUGAUUUGGAUGGAAGGGUUGAGUGUAAUUCCAAGAUUGCAGUUGCUCUUUCACUGA